rnacentral:sRNA from 1 species
GGCUGUGAGAGCGAUCUGGCUGUGCAGUCUGCCAUCCUAUUGAUAGCCACAGCUGAUUUGACAGAUCUGGCUGGCUAGGCAGAGGUCUCCCACCUUCCUCACCACUCCAUGUGCAUCGCCUCCAAAAGCUGCAUGCUCUGUCAAAGCAGACCUCAGAUAGAGGAGGACCAUUCCCUGCAUCAAGGGUAUGAGAGUAGCUGCACUCUCCUGCUAGAACCUUCAAACAAGUUCUCAUAAUGUGUUCUGGAGCCUGCCUUUUCCUUGGAUGCUACCCGGCAGCAGCUUUCACCAUAUUUUUUUAUUUAUACUUUAUAAAGACACUUGUAGA